GGGGAUGAAAGCUUUCGAUGAUUGGUCUUUUAAAACAAAGCAAGCUGAGCUAUCCCAAGCUCGUAAAUAUUAGGGAAAAAUUAUAAUUGCCAAUUUAUUUAAUAGGCAACCAGCAUUAGCUUUAGCUUAAUGCUGCAUCUUUACCGUCAACUCCUGAUAGGCGGACUAAAGGUGUUAUAUCAUCAGGAUAGGCAAUUUGAAUCUUCGGCAAAUUGCUAAAACUUAAGAAGAUAAGGCGUUAAAACUUUUGUUAAUUUUAUAUUUAACGCACCAAUACAAAAAUUAACUAAGCUUGUAGAAUUGUUUUAAAAAACUUUUCAGACGAGGAUUCGCCUCCUCCAUCUCCACAU
rnacentral:tmRNA from 1 species